ACACUUAACUGCAAAGGAGGUGAGAGUGCAAUGUGCUGUCCUCCUAGAAGAGAAAACGGAAAUAGAAGAGAAACUCAUUAGUUACCCUACAAGGGGCUUUGGUGUUCUUAUCAGUAAAAGAGAUCCUUGUGAAUGCUCUAACAUUCUCUUCUAGGUGGGGCUUCCCUUGGGCCCCAGAGGACCCCAUCUGGAGAUCAUUGUAGGCGAAAGGAAAUCGUUCUGGAGAUCAUUCUAGGUUAAAGGAAAGAGUUGCGCAAAGAAGAGGAAGGGAUGUCAAAUAGCAGGCACGGCGAGCCUGAGGCCAGUGUUCAACUGGAAUGGCAGGUGAUGUGGAGAAAUAGGCCCAAGGCUAUAUAUAUAUUUGUUGGUGUUGGCUUGUGGUGGCCUUGAAUACCAGGCUAAGGAAUUUUACCAACAUUUUAGGAUCAAACCAAAACUCGUUUAGACUUUAUAAAGCUGGGCAAGGGCUUUUUAAGACCCAGCCCUAGUUUGCUCCUCUCUGGGCGCUGCUCAGUUCGUAGUAUUGACUGCCAGCUUCUCAGAAGAUAGCAGCAAUGAAUCUGGCAGCUGGAACGUGUCUCCGUCCUCUCUGCCUACCCCAGGAGAUUGUGUCUGCACAUGGCUGUUGUUGGACUCUGGGUGAGUUUUCAAUUAUUGGUUGACAGUGUUUUAAGAAGGUUACAGUCCAUCAACAAGAGUGCUUGCUUCAUGGUCCUCUCCUCGCUGAAUCAGCUCUAAGGUGACCCUCUGUUUGGGAUCCUCCUUAACCACUAGGAAGCUCUCAGCUGAGUUUCCCAUCCAACCUUGGUAGCUCUGCAAGGCCUUACAGCAAGUGUUCUGCACACUAAUUUCCCCGGCCUCCUUUUCUUCUACUUUUCUUCUGAUUUGUUUUUAACAUCUUAUUACAGCAUAAAAUUUUAUAAACCAAUACUUAUAAAUGUAAUAAAUAAAAGCAAACAAAUGCUAGCAUACCAUCUUGAAGCCUGUUCUAAUGAAAUACAAUAUGCAUAGGUAAAUAUAUAAAAAUAAACGACAUCGCUAUUGAAUCCAAAGAGAACUUGGCCAGCCUGUCUGCCCAUGACGUUUUUUAACCCAAGUGAACCAGUAGCUGAGUUGGAAUGUCAGGCUCUCUUCCUGGACUGUGUGGUGGCUGCCUUCCUAGACCAUGGAACCACAAGGGACAGAGGUCUUAAAUGGGUUCCCCUUUGAGGCCAGGCAAUAGGACCUAACCUUACCAACAGAAUUACCAUUAACACACACGUAAAAACGAAUGUCUUCUUUUUUGUAGGAUGGGGAGGGGCAGAGAGAGGAUCAUUUACAAAACAGAUUAAGCACGGGAAAGCCUGUUUUUAAAAAUAGUGUCAUAAUAGGGAAGUUCUUCCCUGAAAGCAUGUGCACAGCCACUCUUGCUAAUAUGGUAACAAGAUUCCACCCUUUCCUUCCUGAGACUAGGUCAUGCAGAGAAUUUAGUGAGUAGAUAUUUUCUGAGGAUUCUUUUUGGCUCUUUCAUGGGCCAGUCACGGUCCUGACAUGGGUGACCACCCAGAGAUGAAUGUGAGGAGAUGACACAGGAUUCUCUGGCCAGAUGGAAUAGUGCUGGAUGUAUGCAUGCAUACCUGCCAUUUCCACAUGUAUAGUGCUUUUUUUCUGAUUAUGCAAAUAAUGUAUGCUUACUGUAAAAAAAUUAUGAAAAAUGUAGAAAAGAUAAAAACUAUUCCUCACCCCAUCUUCCAGAGACAAACUAUACUUCACACAUCUCUUUCCUGCUUUUAUAUAUAUACAUAUAUCUCACCACAAUGCACUAUCAUUUCCUGCAUGUAUAUAUAUAUAUAUAUAUGUGUGUGUGUGUGUGUGUGUGUGUGUGUGUGUGUGUGUGUAGGAAAGAGAUGUAUUAAGAUGUAUUACAAAUGUAUAACAUUGUAUAUGUCUUUUGUCAUCUGCUUUUUUUGUAUUCAAUUUUAUAUCAUGAGAUCUUUGACCAUCUCACUGAAAAAUCUUGAAGGACAUUAUUGGUGAAGGCUGAUAGAAAUGGACCAUGAUUUCCCCAGCCGUCUCAUGUUGCUGACCAUUUCAGUUGUUUCCAGUUUUAAAUGCAACAGGAGAGAGCGUCAUGUCAGUAGCUAAGCUUCUGCAACACACCUAAAGGAAGCAUGUUGCUGAGUGCCCUGCUCUGAUCCCCUUGGAGAAACGCUGAGGACGGAUUUGAUUUCAAAUACUGUAAAUCAGGCCAGGUGUGGUGGCUCAGGCCUGUAAUCCCAGCACUUUGGGAGGCUGAGGUGGGUGGAUCACCUGAGGUCAGAGUGUGAGACCAGCCUGGCCAACAUGGCGAAACCCCGUCUCUACUAAAAAUAUAAAAAUUACCCAGGCAUGAUGGUGUGCCUCUGUAGUCCCAGCUACUUGAGAGGCUGAGGCAUGAGAAUCGCUUAAACCCUGUGAGGUGGAGGUUGCAAUGAGCCGAGAUCAUGCCACUGCACUCCAGCCUGAGCGACAGAGCAAGACACUGACUCCAAAAA
rnacentral:lncRNA from 10 species